UACGUAGGUGGCAAGCGUUGUCCGGAUUUAUUGGGUUUAAAGGGUGCGUAGGCGGUCCUGUAAGUCAGUGCUGAAAUAUCCCAGCUUAACUGGGAGGGUGGCAUUGAUACUGCGGGGCUAGAGUACAGAUGAGGUAGGCGGAAUUGACGGUGUAGCGGUGAAAUGCUUAGAUAUCGUCAAGAACACCUAUAGCGAAGGCAGCUUACUAGGCUGUAACUGACGCUGAGGCACGAAAGUGUGGGGAUCAAACAGG
rnacentral:rRNA from 1 species